rnacentral:rRNA from 1 species
UACGUAGGGCGCAAGCGUUGUCCGGAAUUAUUGGGCGUAAAGAGCUCGUAGGCGGUUUGUCGCGUCUGCUGUGAAAACUCGAGGCUCAACCUCGGGCUUGCAGUGGGUACGGGCAGACUAGAGUGCGGUAGGGGUGACUGGAAUUCCUGGUGUAGCGGUGGAAUGCGCAGAUAUCAGGAGGAACACCGGUGGCGAAGGCGGCAUCCUGGACCGACACUGACACUGAGGAGCGAAAGCCAGGGGAGCAAACGGG